rnacentral:rRNA from 1 species
UACGUAGGGUGCAAGCGUUGUCCGGAAUUAUUGGGCGUAAAGAGCUCGUAGGCGGUUUGUCGCGUCUGCUGUGAAAACUCGGGGCUUAACUCCGGGCCUGCAGUGGGUACGGGCAGACUAGAGUGCGGUAGGGGAGACUGGAAUUCCUGGUGUAGCGGUGAAAUGCGCAGAUAGUCAGGAGGAACACCGGUGGCGAAGGCGGGUCUCUGGGCCGAUACUGACGCUGAGGAGCGAAAGCGUGGGGAGCGAACAGG